rnacentral:snoRNA from 13 species
UGAUGAAGGAAGCAUGGUAAGGUACACGGAAAUUGAAGUUUUGGGUCGGCAUGUCUGCUCCCUCUGAUGCCUCUCUUUGGAGGAUAUGAUUUGGAGGCCUGGUUUAGACCCACAUUU